rnacentral:rRNA from 1 species
UACAGAGGUGGCAAGCGUUGUUCGGAAUUACUGGGCGUAAAGGGCGCGUAGGCGGCCUUGUAAGUCCUGUGUGAAAUCCCCCGGCUCAACUGGGGAACUGCACAGGAGACUGCUUGGCUUGAGUUCGGGAGAGGGAAGCGGAAUUCCGGGUGUAGCGGUGAAAUGCGUAGAUAUCCGGAGGAACACCAGUGGCGAAGGCGCCGCUCUGGGCCGUAACUGACGCUGAGAAGCGAAAGCGUGGGGAGCAAACAGG